rnacentral:lncRNA from 1 species
UAACCGAAGAACCAAAAAUAGAAUCUCAAGAAAAAUCAGAUGAGGCAGAGGUACCAAACACAAUUGCAAUUGUUGAACCCUUAGUUGAGGCCAAUGAGGAAAAGACAACAGUGGAACUUUCAGAAGAGACCAACAAUGAAGUAGAGCCUACAGAAAGAGGAAAAGCAGAGCCUGUGGCCAUAGAAGAGCAUGAAGUAACCGAAGAACUGGAAAAAGAAUUGCAAGAAAAAUCAGAUGAGGCAGAGCAACCAACCACAACUGCAAUUGUUGAACCAUCAGUUGAGGCCAAUGAGGAAAAGACGACACUGGAACUAUCGGAA